CCAGACUCCUACGGGAGGCAGCAGUGGGGGAUAUUGCACAAUGGGGGGAACCCUGAUGCAGCGACGCCGCGUGGGUGAGGGAGUGCUUCGGCAUGUAAAGCCCUAUCGGCAGGGAAGAAGCAAGACGGUACCUGACUAAGAAGCCCCGGCUAACUACGUGCCAGCAGCCGCGGUAAUACGUAGGGGGCGAGCGUUAUCCGGAUUCACUGGGUGUAAAGGGAGCGUAGACGGCCAAGCAAGCCAGGGGUGAAAGCCCGGGGCCCAACCCCGGGACUGCCCUUGGAACUGCAUGGCUGGAGUGCGGGAGGGGCAGGCGGAAUUCCUGGUGUAGCGGUGAAAUGCGUAGAUAUCAGGAGGAACAUCAGUGGCGAAGGCGGCCACCUGGACCGGUAUUGACGCUGAGGCGCGAAAGCGUGGGGAGCAAACAGGAUUAGAUACCCUUGUAU
rnacentral:rRNA from 1 species